UUCCGGUUCUGACUGAGAGUCACAGGCAACGUAAACAAGCGCUAUAUUUCUCUAUAAACGAUGGUGUCUGUACUGCCUUACCACUUCGAGCUCGAUCCAGAGAGUUCAGAAGGCCGUUACGAUAUAAACGAUCUCCGUCAAUGAAUGCGAUUGGAUUUAACUUUUUUAGGUGUCCUUAGCUCUGCCAGAAUGCUAAACGAAGACGAAAAUGUGUUGCAAAGACAUCCAAAAGGUUUUAAGGAGAAUGCAACAGGUUCCAGGGCCUCUUACCUGCGUGAUUCAUCAUCCAGAUAUGCUUGGAGCUUCCUGAUUGGAAUGUUGGCUUCCGACGACCCCUGCACUGAAGAUGGCAUGCAAUCACGUCCUCCUUUGAAGGUUUCUCAAACUGUGAUGCCAGG